rnacentral:rRNA from 1 species
GAUGAACGCUGGCGGCGUGCUUAACACAUGCAAGUCGAACGGUGAAAGAGAGCUUGCUCUCUGGAUCAGUGGCGAACGGGUGAGUAACACGUGAGCAAUCUACCCCUGACUCUGGGAUAAGCGCUGGAAACGGCGUCUAAUACCGGAUACGAGCUGCGAAGGCAUCUUCAGCAGCUGGAAAGAACUUCGGUCAGGGAUGAGCUCGCGGCCUAUCAGCUAGUUGGUGAGGUAACGGCUCGCCAAGGCGUCGACGGGUAGCCGGCCUGAGAGGGUGACCGGCCACACUGGGACUGAGACACGGCCCAGACUCCUACGGGAGGCAGCAGUGGGGAAUAUUGCACAAUGGGCGAAAGCCUGAUGCAGCAACGCCGCGUGAGGGACGACGGCCUUCGGGUUGUAAACCUCUUUUAGCAGGGAAGAAGCGAAAGUGACGGUACCUGCAGAAAAAGCACCGGCUAACUACGUG